UACGGGGGGGGCAAGCGUUGUUCGGAAUUACUGGGCGUAAAGGGUGCGUAGGUGGUUUGUUAAGUCUGCUGUGAAAUCCCCGGGCUCAACCUGGGAAUGGCAGUGGAUACUGGCAAGCUAGAGUGCGGUAGAGGGUAGUGGAAUUCCCGGUGUAGCAGUGAAAUGCGUAGAGAUCGGGAGGAACACCAGUGGCGAAGGCGGCUACCUGGACCAGCACUGACACUGAAGCACGAAAGCGUGGGGAGCAAACAGG
rnacentral:rRNA from 1 species